rnacentral:rRNA from 1 species
AAAGGAAUUGACGGGGGCCCGCACAAGCGGCGGAGCAUGCGGAUUAAUUCGAUGCAACGCGAAGAACCUUACCUGGGUUUGACAUACACCGGAAAGCUGCAGAGAUGUAGCCCCUUUUAGUCGGUGUACAGGUGGUGCAUGGCUGUCGUCAGCUCGUGUCGUGAGAUGUUGGGUUAAGUCCCGCAACGAGCGCAACCCUCGUCCUAUGUUGCCAGCACGUUAUGGUGGGGACUCAUAGGAGACUGCCGGGGUCAACUCGGAGGAAGGUGGGGAUGACGUCAAGUCAUCAUGCCCCUUAUGUCCAGGGCUUCACGCAUGCUACAAUGGCCGGUACAAACCGCUGCGAUACCGUAAGGUGGAGCGAAUCGGAAAAAGCCGGUCUCAGUUCGGAUUGGGGUCUGCAACUCGACCCCAUGAAGUCGGAGUCGCUAGUAAUCGCAGAUCAGCAACGCUGCGGUGAAUACGUUCCCGGGCCUUGCACACACCGCCCGU